rnacentral:rRNA from 1 species
GAUGAACGCUGGCGGCGUGCCUAAUACAUGCAAGUCGAGCGAACAGACGAGGAGCUUGCUCCUCUGACGUUAGCGGCGGACGGGUGAGUAACACGUGGAUAACCUACCUAUAAGACUGGGAUAACUUCGGGAAACCGGAGCUAAUACCGGAUAAUAUAUUGAACCGCAUGGUUCAAUAGUGAAAGACGGUUUUGCUGUCACUUAUAGAUGGAUCCGCGCCGCAUUAGCUAGUUGGUAAGGUCACGGCUUACCAAGGCAACGAUGCGUAGCCGACCUGAGAGGGUGAUCGGCCACACUGGAACUGAGACACGGUCCAGACUCCUACGGGAGGCAGCAGUAGGGAAUCUUCCGCAAUGGGCGAAAGCUUGACGGAGCAACGCCGCGUGAGUGAUGAAGGUCUUCGGAUCGUAAAACUCUGUUAUUAGGGAAGAACAAAUGUGUAAGUAACUAUGCACGUCUUGACGGUACCUAAUCAGAAAGCCACGGCUAACUACGUG